rnacentral:misc_RNA from 1 species
UGAUGUUCGAGACUUCUAGCUUUGGUUUGGGUUAGAAAUAAAUCAGAAAAGAUGUAAAGUUGAUAGAAAAGAGGGCUAUGAUUGAUGGACGGCGGAUGGGGGAAAGAGGUAACGUUGGAUACCGCCGGAUAUUGUUGUUUUCCGGUGGUCCGUGGGCGUUUCUUUGGCAGCGGAUGAUGGACGAUUGGUGAGAGAGGACGAAGG